CAGAGGGAAUUUCCGGUGUAGCGGUGAAAUGCGUAGAUAUCGGGAAGAACACCAGUGGCGAAAGCGCUCUGCUGGACCAUUACUGACGCUCAUGGACGAAAGCCAGGGGAGCGAAAGGGAUUAGAUACCCCUGUAGUCCUGGCCGUAAACGAUGAACACUAGAUGUUGGGGGAAUCGACCCCCUCGGUGUCGUAGCUAACGCGUUAAGUGUUCCGCCUGGGGAGUACGCACGCAAGUGUGAAACUCAAAGGAAUUGACGGGGGCCCGCACAAGCGGUGGAGUAUGUGGUUUAAUUCGAUGCAACGCGAAGAACCUUACCAAGGCUUGACAUCCUGCGAAUCUCCGAGAAAUUGGAGAGUGCCUUCGGGAACGCAGUGACAGGUGGUGCAUGGCUGUCGUCAGCUCGUGUCGUGAGAUGUUGGGUUAAGUCCCGCAACGAGCGCAACCCACGUUUUUAGUUGCCAGCAUUCAGUUGGGCACUCUAGAAAGACUGCCGGUGACAAACCGGAGGAAGGUGUGGACGACGUCAAGUCAUCAUGCCCCUUACGCCUUGGGCUACACACGUACUACAAUGCUGCGGACAAAGAGUAGCGAUCUUGCGAAAGUUAGCUAAUCUCGUAAACCGUGGCUCAGUUCAGAUCGUAGGCUGCAACUCGCCUACGUGAAGGAGGAAUCGCUAGUAAUCGCAGGUCAGCAUACUGCGGUGAAUACGUUCCCGGGCCUUGUACACACCGCCC
rnacentral:rRNA from 1 species